rnacentral:rRNA from 1 species
UCCUCUGGCCCAUUUAAAUACCCAAGAGGCACCAGAUCCCAUCUGUUCAUGGAAGCUAAGCAGGGUCAGGUUUGAUUAGUAUUUAGAUGAGAGAUUGCCAAUUAACACCAGGUGCUAUAGGCU